GACGAACGCUGGCGGCGUGCUUAACACAUGCAAGUCGAACGGAAAGGCCCUGCUUUUGUGGGGUGCUCGAGUGGCGAACGGGUGAGUAACACGUGAGUAACCUGCCCUUGACUUUGGGAUAACUUCAGGAAACUGGGGCUAAUACCGGAUAGGAGCUCCUGCUGCAUGGUGGGGGUUGGAAAGUUUCGGCGGUUGGGGAUGGACUCGCGGCUUAUCAGCUUGUUGGUGGGGUAGUGGCUUACCAAGGCUUUGACGGGUAGCCGGCCUGGGAGGGUGACCGGCCACAUUGGGACUGCGGUACGGCCCAGACUCCUACGGGAGGCAGCAGUGGGGAAUAUUGCACAAUGGGCGGAAGCCUGAUGCAGCAACGCCGCGUGCGGGAUGACGGCCUUCGGGUUAUAAACCGUUUUCGCCUGUGACGAAGCGUGAGUGACGGUAAUGGGUAAAGAAGCACCGGCUAACUACGUG
rnacentral:rRNA from 1 species